rnacentral:rRNA from 1 species
AAACUUAAAGGAAUUGACGGAAAGGCACCACCAGGCGUGGAGCUUGCGGCUUAAUUUGACUCAACACGGGAAACCUCACCCGGCCCGGACACGGACAGGAUUGACAGAUUGAUAGCUCUUUCUCGAUUCCGUGGGUGGUGGUGCAUGGCCGUUCUUAGUUGGCGGAGCGAUUUGUCUGGUUAAUUCCGAUAACGAACGAGACUCUGGCAUGCUAACUAGUUACGCGACCCCCGAGCGGUCGGCGUCCCCCAACUUCUUAGAGGGACAAGUGGCGUUCAGCCACCCGAGAUUGAGCAAUAACAGGUCUGUGAUGCCCUUAG